UACCUUUUUGGUUUUGUGUUUUGUUUACAGCUCUAACUGGCGAUGAUAAAUGUGGUUCAUAAAAGCAUGCGCAGCUCGGGAGUGUUGUUCUGUCCUGCAGUUGAAUCCAUCCACGUUACAGCGGCUUUUGCAUUUGAAAGAAGCCGGUGUCACAAACGGGCAGACAACUAGUUUCCACGUGCAGAAGGUUUAUUUCCAGACAUGAUGACAAGUAUAGGGUCGCGUCACCGAUCAUCCAGCCAGUGUGUGUCGGCGUUUCACCGAGGCGUCAAACAAGGAAGCGCAUCCUAGUAUUACUAGUAGUAACAGAGUUGCCAGAUUCGGCGGGUUUCCGUCCAAUUUAGUGGUUUCUAUUUGGAUCUUGCGGGGAUAACUUUUUUUGGCCAUAUAUAAUUUGGCCAGGUUUUGUGUGAAAUGUUUUUUUUAGUUCGUUUUAUUAUGAGUCUGAAUGAUCUUAUUUUGAAAAAUGACCGGAAUUUCUCGGUAAAAAUGAAUGAAUACUAAUCAGUCCAGCGGCGAGUUUAGAUCCAUAAAAUGCAAAAUCUUUUUUGUUUUAGCUUUUUAGUGUAUUAUAAUGUUGAUUCCUCACAAAAUGACACCUAAGCGGUAUUUCGACCCAUUCGCGAGUAUUCCUCUAAAAUCGAGCGGGUUCUUCUCAUGAGCUGACGUGAAGAACACAUUAUUGAGAACGGUCCCGUUCAUGAGAGUCUGCGCUGCCGGCACCGCCCACAGACACACACCCACUUUCUCCGCAGAGCAAAAAUGUUUGUCAAAAGCGCUUUAUUUUUAUAUGCACAAUAUGCACAUCCAUCUUUGCAGAAGUUUGAAUGUUUUUUUGUUUUCCUGGGAGAAACGCAGACACGCUGCCGAGGCCGACUCCAUCUGCCGAGAUUGACGUCACACACACAGAGCGAAAGCCGGUGACUCAGAGGAUGAGUCCUGUUAUUUCCAGUUUGGAAAAAAACGCAGGAUAAUAACCAAUAUUUAAUCAAAAAAAUCCUUUUGUGUGUGUGCCAAAGGUCACCUGCAGCUUCACUCAAGUUGUCGUGACAGACUCGCCGAUAUAGAUUUCAUGUCAGCAGUUGUUGCUGUGGUUGGAGUAAUUGGGGACUCUUGGACGAUGCAACCAGAAGAAUGAUGGGCUUCCUCAUGUCCAAUGAGUUGGCUCUGCAAUAUAACCUGUUUGGACGUCAUGGAGAGAAUAAAUUCUGCUAACUGCGUCUUUUUGAUGUCUUCUAUGGGGCAGUGAAGAAAAAAUGACAUCACCCAACCAGUCCCACUAAAGGAAGUGGAGAAGGGCCUCUCCAAAUGGUUUGUUGGAGCUCGUGACAGGGGAGGAAACCGAGCUAUAAGGACUCAAAGAGAGCUUGAAUAUCAAGCCGAUGGAGCUUGUUCUCAGGAACCGUCAAGGAUGCUAUGAGUAUUUUGUUUUACUGGAUUUAUUUAUUUUUUCGUCACAUAAUUGGCACACAUUAAGGUUGUUCAUAUUGUACUGUACCAAGUGAAGUAGUUCUUUAUUUUAUUAAGUAACUGUUGUAUGUUAGAUCCUGUGUGUUAUCUGUUAAACCUUUGGGUGACCUUGCCAUGGUCUUGUAUCUCGUUUUCACAAUGCAGGAUCAGGAUAAUUUAUUUUCUUUUAUUAAAUUGAAACAUUUUAAAAGCA